UCUUCCCGCCCUGCUCCACGUGCUGCUCCAGUGAGAAACCCACCAGCGCCAGCCCGUCCAGCUCCUCCACCUGCUACCACCCAGAGCAGCGGUGGUGGUAUCAUGAGCGGGAUUGGGUCCACCAUUGCUCAGGGCAUGGCUUUCGGUACUGGAAGUGCCAUGGCGCACAGGGCUGUUGAUGCUGUGAUGGGUCCCCGUACCAUUCAGCAUGAGACUGUUGUCGGUGAGGCUGCUGCAUCUAUGACUCCAAUGGACAAUGCUGCUGAUGACAAGUGUGGCAACCCUUCCAAGGCCUUCCAAGAUUGCAUCAACCACUACGGAAGCGAUAUCAGCAAGUGCCAGUUCUACCUUGACAUGCUGAACGAGUGCCGCCGUGGAGGAGCAACUCUUUAA
rnacentral:rRNA from 1 species